rnacentral:rRNA from 1 species
UACGAAGGGGGCUAGCGUUGUUCGGAAUUACUGGGCGUAAAGCGUGCGCAGGCGGCUUCUCAAGUCAGGGGUGAAAGCCCAGAGCUCAACUCUGGAAUUGCCUUUGAGACUGAGUGGCUUGAGUACGAGAGAGGUGAGUGGAAUUCCCAGUGUAGAGGUAGAAAUUCGUAGAUAUUGGGGAAGAACACCGGUGGCGAAGGCGGCUCACUGGCUCGUAACUGACGCU